ACACCCCCGGUAUUCAGUUAUCCAAGUAAAAUCCAUUAGAUCCACAUAUUUUACAUGAUGCACAUAAAAUUCUGUGCGUAUAACUUAACAACAGCUGAUGACAGGAUAACCGAGAUACUAAUCAUUGGAUCCCUAUCAUUACGGCAGCGGUCAACGGAGGUGGCACCCUUCCAUAGCCGUAGAUUUUGGCGCCUGCUUGCAGCCUUGUCUUUAUAACUCUCUCCUCUCUUCACAGUUCACACACUGAAACGGCGCGCCCUUCAAGGAUCUAUCCCCGUUUACUUGCUCAACCUUCACGAAUUCUCAUAUUUUCUUUCCUCUGUUUUUCUUCUCUCUCAUUUUCUCUUCAUCCAAACAUGAACUCUUCUUCAACCUUAUUAACUAAUAUUUCCUUUUCUUGCUUUGCAAGACAAUUCCAAGAGUGUAGCCCCAAUCGUGGGCAAUUUCAAUUAAGACUUAAAAAGAAGAGUAAAGCGAUAUCAUCUUUUAAAUGCAUUCAAAUCUCUGAUUGGGUUCUUCCGAAGAGAUUUAACCUUCCGGAACCUAGUUUAUCGGUUUCUCGGGCGGCGAUGACAUGCAAGGUGGUCGAUGAAAAGCUGAAGAGGCUUGUUUUGGAGUUCGAAUCUCUAACGCAGUCGAUCGAUCGAGUCAAGCGGCUGUUGCACUACGCGGGGAGGCUGCCUCCUUUCGACGAGUCGGCUCGGGUGGAGGCGAAUCGAGUCACUGGGUGCACGACUCAGGUGUGGCUGGAGGCGAGAUUGGACGAGUCUGGGAGAGUCAGAUUUUGUGCCGAUAGCGAUUCGGAGAUUACGAAAGGGUUCAUUUCGUGUUUGAUUUGGAUAUUGGACGGGGCAGAGCCGGAAGAGGUGUUGAUGGUGAAGAAGGAGGAUUUGGGUGCGAUGAAUGUGGGGCUCCACGGGAAGGCCCAAUCGAGAGUGAACACGUGGCACAAUGUGUUGAUUAGUAUGCAGAAGAGGACUAUGACUUUGGUAGCUCAGAGUCAGAUAGAGCCGUUUCCGUCGCUUGUUGUCAUCGCUGACGAUAUUGGCGCUGAUGGAAGAUUCAACGAAGACGACGUUGAGUCCAAGGAAAGACAUAAGUUCCAUGUAAAAGCUCUGGCCUUGCAUCCACAUCUCUGAUUGAUAGAUUAUAUGGCAGAUGCAGGAGUCAAGAUGGCAGAAGCUGGAUGCCAACUUAUCACGGUCGUAGCCACAGAUUUGGACUCUGAGAUGGGAAUAGAAUCUGGCUUUGCAAAGUGACAAAAGCUCUUUCAUAGAGGCAAAAUACAGUUUCAGAACACAGAUACAAUUUGCUUGUACAUUUUCUCAUACACUGUGUGCAACAAUUCUCCAGGUAGAAUUUUAAAUUUUUGGGUUUGUCAUUCUUUUCUGUUUAUACUGUGUGUUUACUUGGAAGGGCUUGAUUGAUUGCAAACGUGGGACUUUUGUGGAGCUGCUAUUGGCAACAGAGAUUACCGCAGAAGAAGAGAGCGUUAGAGAUACGUUCAAGCACAUAAUAAUAAUGGUUAAAUAUGAUUGCAACAUAUAUAGUUCAAGCGAUUGUUGUAUAGAUUGAAAGGUACUGAAUAUGAAUGUAAGGAUAUAUAAUUGCUCAUGGAUUCUUUUCCUUGGCUGUCUAUAAUAUUCACAGCAUUAACUGCUUCGAUUUCUAUGUAUAAUUUGUAUGUAUGCUUAUGAAGUGAUGUGUAAUGUUACGAA